UUUUUUAUUAUUUUUUCUUUUUAGUCCAAACUAUUUGGAGUCGCAUAUUGAUUGCACUUUAAAGAAAAAAAGGAUCUAUAAGUAUCUCUACAACCAAACUAAGGAACUAGCAAGGCAAAAUACAAACCUAUGAAAAUCUAUGCUAAUAAAGGCCAAAAUACAUGUUAUAAAACCUAUUCUAUUCUUUUCAUUUCUUCAUGUUUUCCUUAUGUCUUGAGCCAUUUAUGAUCACAUCAGAUCAGCCCAAUGAAAAGGGGUGAACUCAAAAGCUAAUCUGAGGUUGUUCACAAAGGGUGAACUCAGAAUUAUAGGUAGGGGUCAAAGACCCUGUUAUUUUCUUCAUUCUGUCUUUCUUGUGGACAUCUUGGUGCCCUCGUAAUGUUGUGAGAUUGCAUUUUAGUGCAUUCUGUUUUCAAGUCAUAGCAUGCUUUGUAUUGAUUACAAAAUGUAGUUUUAAAGUACAUGGACAUAAGGGUCUAUAUAAGAAAAUCCAGAUUUAGAUAAAGCCGUGUCUCAUGGAAUGUUUGCAAAUAAAGAAACUGUUUUUGGCACUGUAGUAGAUGCACGUCAAACUUCUUAGUAAAAAAGGAUUCACUGUGAUUUAUUUAAGGUGAUAUCAUAUGUCUUGCUUCUAAAGUAUGCUUUAGUAAUUGUUUUUACGUUGCAUGUUGCUGUUGAACGUGGAGUAAAAUUUUGAGUAGUAGACAGAGAAGAAAAGUGGAUCCCCUAUCACUUUCUUAUGAUUCAAUAGUGGUUUUCAUACAAAUAGUAGCGAACACACUAUAAACUGAAGAACUUUGUAAUUAAAACAGCUUAAACUCAAACCAAAUCUACUCUAGGAAAGCAAUAAAAUCUACCAAACUAGCUUUGUAGUGAAGGCAGGUUCAUAACAUUAGAGAGAAGGAAAACUCAGAACUGUAAAAUCUGGAAAAGGUUUUCUUAUUAGUCACUAUGUGGUUUUCAUCCAUCUCUAAUUUUGAUAUUCGCAUUCCGGUUCUGCAACACCCCGGACUCAUCAUUUCUAAUAGCAUAUGGCAUAUUACUGCAAUAUCUUCGCACUGGUUUUUUAUUACAUUAGUCUACUACAUCAUUUAAAUUGAAGAACUUUAGUUCAAAGUCAAAAGGAAUAGAUAAUUUGGUAGAAAGAAAAAAUGAGGUAAAUUAGGAGUUAUGAUUGUAUUCUGUUGAACAGUACGUAGCAUCAACUUAUGGGCUUUGCAAGUUUAUUGGAAGACAGGAUAUGAAUGACAUAGCACGGGGGAAUCUAUUGAUUGAUUUUCUUCACUCUCGGUUCUUUGCUUAUUGGUAUAACAAUCAAAGAAUAUUACACCCCGAUUGUACUUUAGUUUAAGUCAUAGGGAAAAUUCUCAGCUAAACUUUAAUGGUUGCAGAAGAGUAAUAUAUAUAUAUAUAUAUAUAUAUAUAUAUAUAUAUAUAUAUAUAUAUAUAUAUAUAUAUAUAUAAAGACCAUAUCAAUUUGAAUUGUAAUGUGUAACAGCAAUAGGUGGUAUAAAGUGAAAAUAGAAACUUCCUCAUUUCUCUUUAUGCAAGUGAUAAAAUAAAUUGGAGAAAGAAUGAGUGUGUGAGAGAAAAAGAAUGGAGGAUUCAUGCAAGUUGUGGUAAGAUGCAUUGUUUCAUGUGUGGGGUCGGGAAUGAAUAGGACACUCCUUCACACUUUCUAUCGCGCUUGUUUGGAUAAUUUUGUUCGUCUUUUGUUAAAGUCCUUUCUGGUUAAUGUUCCAAACCGCUCGAGGAUACUUGUCAAAGGCAUUUCGAUGCUUAAGUCAUUAAUUAAUCCAGACGAUGGUUAGAGCAAAGUCAUAAAUUCACAAUAAAUAUGAUCACUUACUUUUUAUCUUUGACCUCUAUUUAUAGUUUUAGAGAUGGGCUUAAGAUUAGCAAAACCCUAAUCACGACCCCAAUCUCGGUCCAUUAUCUACUAAUUAACACUUACUCUUAACCUUGUCUAUUUGGUCUUUACCCACAUUCGGCCGAGCAAUCAUCGUCUUAUUUUGUUCAAUUUCAUGGGUUCAGACAUAUUCGAUCGGUCAUCCCUCAAUGGCUCUUUCUGCCCGGUCUUAGCUAUGUUGUCAUCUGGCCAUACAGUACAAAGGCCUCCCAAGCCCUAGCCAACCCUGGGUGGCGUUGGAUUUGAUACAUGGGUGGUGUGGAGUAGGUCUCGUGGCUAUGGUUGGAGCUUCCCCAUACGACGUGAUUUGAAUUUGUGGUAGUGGUGGGAAGACACUUGUCUUAUUAAUUAUGUGUUGUCAUCAUCAAAACCAGAAGAUCUCUGAGAUUGUAAGGUUUGGCUAAAUAAGUGUUCCCUCUAUCAAAAAUCCCAACAACCUUCAACAAAGAAAGGUCAAACCUUCAACACAAAAGAAAAAGGACACACCUUGAACUAAGAGUACAGAGAGAACAGAGGAUUGGAGAGAGAACGGAGAGUGGAGAAAGAACAACAAAGAAGUUGAAUUAUAGAGAGAGAAUGAACCCUCUUUUUCUGAAUGAAAAAAGCAAGGGUAUUUUGGAAUUCAUAAGUGUAAUAUGAUUACAUUUUCCCACGUUACCUUUUUCAAAUAAAAAAUUUAUUUUAACCUUCUCCAAUACUGUUUUUAGACAUGGCAAUUGUGAAAAAGUUAUAAAAAAAAGGUUUAAUGUCUCGAUAAGUCCUUAUUUUCGUCCUGAAUCUCAAUUAGGUCCCUUUUUUUUCGACUUCUCGAUUAGGUCCUUAUUUUUGUAAAAUUGAAUCAAUUGAGGGUCUACCGUCAAAUUAAACAAACUGUCGUUUAAAUUUACUGACGUGACAUUAAAAACGAAUUUUAUAUUAAAAAUUUGAAUUACACAAGUGUGAAUUCAAAUUUAAGAAAGGGCAAAGUAGGCAAAAUCUAAAAUUUAAGUGCAGCCCCUAACUUCAAUCUUCCAUGUUCAUUUCAUUCAACUCAAAAUUAUAUUCUGUUCAUCAGCAUCCUUCCCAAAUUCCAUCAACGUUUCCCUGUCCUUAUCAUACAGCGGGCACUCAUUCUCCAACUAACAAAGUUGGACUACCAACUUAUCAAACUCCAGUGCCAGUCUAUGAUUCUCCUCCACGAAUUUCUUCAAAACUUGCACUCGCUUCAAACUGCUCUAAAAUACCCAGAAUUCCCAUCAUCAAAUUUUCAAAAAAAAGAAAAUGAAAGAUAAAGAUUCAAAAGACCAAUCUUGCAUAAAACAAAAUCAAAUGCAACCAAAACAAAAAGUAAAAAGCCUUCCAAUUCCAACAUUAAUAAACAACCAGUACAUGAUUGGAUUAAUGUGAGUAUUUCAACAAUUUACUGAAGCUUCACAAUUGAGAUUUCCCAAAUGCAGAUUAAAAAAUGAUGAUAAAAGCAAACAAAGAGGAGCGGACCUCACCUCGUCCACAUUAAAAUCCCGAUCAAUUAACCGGUGUCCUGAGUUCUCCAAUUCAGAAACCCUAACGCUCCUUCGAGUUUCUUUCGACACUUUCGCGACGGCGGAGUCCAAAUCCUUGCGGAGGAGCGUCCCUCCCAUGAUGAAUCCCUCUUGUUCGAAGGCAAAGAGCGUCUUGGACUGCGACGGAGAAGAACAAAAUGGAAAGGUGAGACCUUGAAGGAAAUGUAAAUGUUAUUGAUGGUGGCCAAGUCGUUGAAGGAGAUGACGUUGAAUGGAGGAUGCAGAUGAUGUUGACUGGCUUCAUUACUGAGAAGGAGUUUUAGGGUUUUGAAAGAAAAGGGGUUAAUGGAAGAAGAAAAGAGGUUUGUCUUUUUUGCCCCUCUGAACAUAUUUGAUUUAACUUUGCUUAAUUAUUUUUUAAUAUAAAAAUUAAUUCAAAUUUAUUUUUAAUGCCACAUAAGAUAAAUUUAAACGGUCGUUUGUUUAAUUUAACGGCAAGUCUCUAAUUCUUCAAUUUUACAAAAAUAAGGACCGAAUUGAGAAGUUGAAAAAGAAAUGGACCUAAUUAAGAUUCAGGGCAAAAAUAAGGACUUACGGAACUAUUAAACCUAAAAAAAAAAGUUGUUAACUUAUCGCGAUCCACAAUCAAUAAAUCUCCUUUAACACGAAAACUACCUAAAAGCAAUAUCUAUAACUUAAUGUAGUAAGGAAUUUUGACCAAUAAUUUUUUAGACACAAAGUAAUAUGCUUAAACUAAGUAUAAUUUCAAUGUCUAAUCUCUAUGCAAACUAGUAGAGUCCAUUCUCUACCUAUUGUAAGGUAGUGUGGUGUUUUUAUUACACCACUUUUACUUUGCACGUGGGUAAAUGAUAUAGAACAAUUAUAUUUUUUGUAAUCACCAACAAGACCAACCCCUAACUCUGCUAUCAAAUAAAAAAGGACGGAUCUAACAAUGUGAUUAAAGGAAUUUGAGUAACCUCCACCGCUAACUCAACAUGCAAGAGUUCAUUUUCAAAUGUAUUUAGAAGUCUAUAUCACAUAUAUUCAACUAUAACUUCAAUUACUCAAAAAGCAACUUGAGCUGUAAGGAGUGCAAUGGGAAAACUCCAACCUAGAAAUCAAAACAAUAGAAACAAAAAUACAACCAAACUUAGGCAAAGACUAAAUUAGUUGAGAAAGUUAUUUUUCUCAAUUUAUAAAGUAUAAAAGAAAAAUUAAAUGGAUUUUUGAUGCAAAAAAGAAAUUUUAAUUUGAAAAGAAAAUUCAUAGGAUAGAAAUGGUAUUUUAUCAUGCUAGUAUAAGGUAGGAUAUGAUUAUGAAAAUGGAGCAUUGGAGUGAGACACUAAAAGAAAUAUUAGAGAAAAACAAACGUUUUUGCAUGCAUGAGAAAGAGAGAAUGAGGGGGAAGUUUUACAAUUUUUUAACUCAAAAAUUUGGGUUCCAUCUUUAAUUUUGUUUAUAUUUUUUUACAUUUACCAAACUAAAUUAUAUAUGUAUGGUCACAAAUGAAAUUAGUAAAUUUAGGAAUAAAUAUAAAAAUCACAUACUUUCAAAAAUAGAGAAACCAAAUGUCUCACCCGGUUUAUUCAAUCAUAAAUUGUAAUAGUUGGUACCUAAUGUUUUAACUAUAAUGUUUUAAUUAAUUAAAAAUAUAAAAAUAUUUAAUAACUUUAACUUUUAUAUUGAAUACUUCUUCGUUUAAAAAUAUGAUUUCAAAAUAGUAAUGUUUUCCCUUCCGAACAUAAAAUUCACUUCAAUAGUUUUCUAAAAUAAUACAGAAUUAUUCACUGUUUUUAUAAUCAUAUUAAAGAUUCGUGUAUUAUUUUAUCUUAAGUCCGUAAAAUAUCAUAUCGGUCGUUUAUCGACGAAAUAGGCGAAAACUGGAAAGCAAAGACUGAAGGGAUAUGUUUUGCUUAGCGAUGAAGGAAAUCUAUAUUACAAAUAAAUUAAAAAAACAAUGUCAUAAUCAAUUAAAUAUAAGAAAAAAAUAGUAAGAACCUGAUUCUAUUUUAUUUUCAUUGAAUUAACAUACCUAUAUAUUUUUGUCUGUGUCUGAAGUAGAUUCUAUUUAUACAUUCUACGAAUCUAAUACUGAUUCUGUGUUAACAUCAUACUUCAUUUUUGUCUGCCAUAAGCAGAUUCUGAUUAUAGCUGCAAUUGCAAAUAUAACAUGAUUGAGGUUAUACUUGCAACAUAACGAAAUACUUUCCCAAAAGGGCUCUUAUUUUCGUAUUGGCCCCAAAGGUUUUGGAAUAACAGCCCAUUACAAAAGAUACUUUAUUCUUUCUUUCUUCAAUCACUUUUAUUGCAGGAGGGCAGUUUGAGAUCUAUUUAGGUUAAACUCAUUCGGAGGUAUCUAUUUUUGUGUUUUUGUUUCACUUACAUUUCUGUCUUUUAUUCUUUCACCAAUUAGAUUCUUAAGAUUGAAAAAUUGAAAGAAUUUGACCUUUGCCGUUAAAUCAAGCUAACAGGAUUAACUUUCAGCUUACAUGUAAGGGUGAGGUGGAUAAAUAUGAUCACGUGGCGUGCACAGAAGGGUUUGUUUAUGUACGUGGCAUUAAAUUUAAAAAGUAGGGGUUUUGUUAAACAUUUUAAAAUUAGGGUUAUUUUAAAAUACAAUUAGGAUUAAAUCUCUUUCAGUAGUGGAGUGGUGGUUCCAACAGCACCGACUCGUCAUCACUGGCGAUGUCUACGGCUCAUCCUCAGUUGCGCCUCGGUGCUACUUCUACCGGUCUCUCCACCGUCAAGUGCAUGCAAAACGUGGCCGCCAAAGCCGUCGCGCAACGCCUCACUCGUGUCAUGGCAUCUCAGAACGCCAUCAUCGACGAAGGUGAAGAUGACGAUGAUCUCGAUUUCCGGUUCAGCGCUCCGCCUCCUACAUCUAUUUCUUCUUUCUCCAUCAACGCCAUCAGUAACAGGAGCACCAACACAAAUGCCUCCACUAUUCCUCCGAUUUUGGUUGCCAAGCCUAACAGAUCUACUUCUCCUACGAUAACUCUCUCUGCAAUUCGACACUGUUGGGUAUGUCACUGUUUGUCCAGAAUUUCAGGAAGAAAAUAGAAGAUAAACGUCACGCUAGAGAGAAAAAAUCACCAUGGUCGCGAACCGAACAGUGAGAAGGAAUUCAAAGUGAGCGCGUUGAAUGAAGAGAAAAAAAAAUAAAGUGAAUAAGAUUAACUGAAUAAGGAAUCCACCUUGUGGUCGCGACUACGGUAUUUGAACUGGCGAGGGAAAUAACGAAGGACGUAACUAAGGCCGUCAUCGGAGAGAAACAUCUCUGGUGUUAGUUUGGGCCUUGUUCGAGGAAGUUUCUUGGGCUUUUCGGUUGUGAAUCUGGGCUUGAAAGAAAAGGAAGAAGGAUUGGGAGUGGGAUUGGUGGAGGCGUUAGGGUUUGGAUUGGAAUUGGGAGCAGAGAAAGGACAGUCUCGUGACCAAUGACCUGGUCUGCCACACUUGUAACAGCCUGUGGCGGUUGCUGUUCCUUUUCCUCCAUUUUUUCACUUCUCACUGAUCACUCUCCUUUCCCAACACACCAUCUAUCUGUGGUGCGAUGGUGCUCCACCUGGACAGGAUAGAAUGCGGUGAUAGAGCUACGUGGUACAAGCAACUGUUAUCGGCAAUACUGCAGCAAUGAUUUUGAUGAUUGAGUGUCUGGUGCAGGAGGUGGUCGUCGGCGACGGUGUGGUAGCGAUCUAGGUGGCGCGGCGCAAAUAGUGAAGUAAGGAAGUUUUAGGGUUUAUGGAAGGAAGAAGGAAGAAUUUUCAGUUAUUUUAAAAAAUUUAUUCAGAAUAAAAAUUAAAUAAUACAAAUAAUUAAUAAUAAUAAUAAUAAUAAUAAGGUUAAGAAACACUAAUUUUUUAAUUCUUUGUUUAAGAUACUGACACGUGUAUAAUAAAACCAACGUAACAGGUUCUGUGCACACCACGUCACCAUAUUUGUCCACCUUACCCUCACAGGUAAGAAAAAAGUUAACCCCGUUAACUUGAUUUAACGUCAGGGGUCAAAUUCAUUCAAUUUUCCAAUCUUAAGGACCUAAUUGGCAAAAAAAAAAAGAUGAGGAUGCAAGUGGGACAAAAACACGAAAAUAGGGACCUCUGAAUGUGUUUAACCAUCUAUUUACCUGUAUUGAUGUUAAUUGAAGAGAAGGUGCUUAUUAAAUAAGUCUACUAAGUUCAUGGGGUACCAUAAUUGAGAUCUGGGACACUAGAUUGGUCGAAGAACCUUUAAUGAUUGGAUUGUGAAUAGGUGUAUGGUAAGUAAAAGUCUAUAUAAAUAUUAUAAAUAAAAAGUUUAAGGUAAUUGUUCACUUUUACUGCAACAUUUAGUAUAGCCUUUGGAUCAAUACUAAUUUAAGCAUCAGAGUGUAAUCUAUAAGUACACUUCGAACGAUUUGGACAACUUGAGACCUUAAGUAUUGAAAGGAGCUGAAAAUUGAAGUUAACCUAAGACCGAGACAUAUAGGAAAUGGAAAUGCUUGACCAAUCUAACAGAAACAUUUUUGUACCCACCGUGGGACCGAACGAGCACUUUUUUGCUGCUAUGGUAAUCACAAAGAACAUGACAAACAAUGAAGUACUAGAGGAGCAGCAUGUGGAUCCUAUGGCUAUGAUGCACGACAUGAGAAGGGAGAUGGAGACUAUGAGAAGGAAGCAUGAAGGAGAGAUGACAAUUUUGCACACAGAAAACACACUUAUGAAACAAAAACGGAAACUAAGGGACAUGUACAAUCCACCCCAACUCAACUUGGACCAACCAAACAACCAAGAAUCGAGCAUGAUCGAACAGUUCAGAAGAAAAAUUAUGGAGCUAGUAGAGAUCACAACCCAUCUGUCACUGUCACGGUAGACAUGUCUGGGUGCACCCGUUUACUAGUGGAAUCAUUAAGACCCCUUUACUAGACAAUUGGAAGAUGUCAACGUUUGACAAGUAUGAUGGAUCCACGAAUGUUAACGAGCACAUCAACAUUUGUCUAACGCAGUUGGUGUUAUUCACGUCAGAUGAUAUCAUUUAGUGCAAGGUAUUCCCAACAUCACUAAAAUGAGCCAUCCUCGAGUGGUUCAAGCUUCUAUCUGUCAACUCCAUCGGCUGCUUCGCCACAAUUAGAACGAAAUUUAGAACAUAAUUCACCACUAGCCAACAACAUCAUCUAACGUACAUAGCGCUUGUCAACAUUCGACAAUACAAAGAUGAAAUCCUCUGAACAUUCAUAGAUCAAUUUGGAAAGAUAUCUUCACAAAUAAAGGACCUAAGUCAUAAAGUGCCUAUGCAUCAGAUAAUUCACCAAAAAAACUUGUGGGAUCGUUCCCCAAUAGCCUGUUAUGCAGUCUACCACAAAUUUAGACGAUUUGAUAUAGAGAGUAGCAAAGUACAUGCAGCGAAAGGGCUUGAAAGGCUUUCGAAAGCAAAUGCGACUAUAAAGAGCAAAUGUAAAUAAGGGUACAAAUAAAAAAUCAUUCACCAAGAAUCAAGACUCAAAGUUACGGAGUCAAUCAGAGGUCCCCACUUCCAUAACCACACACCAUCGAACAAUGGUUGUUCGAAAAUCCUUUGGGAAGCUCUAAACACAUACUUGUUACCAUCACCUAGAAGAAAGGCAACCCUGUUGAACCUUGAUAGUAAUAAACAUUGUUAAUAUCAUCAUCACUUAGGCCAAAACAACGAUGAGUGUCUACCGCUAAAAUAUAAAAUAGAAGAGUUCAUCCAACUUUGACAGUUAAAGAAGUUUGUCAAAAUUGAUUAAACCCCUACCAUAGAGAAGAACCCCUAAAUGAGCAGUAUCAAUGUACAAAUAGUAUAAGGAGCAGCCUAGGUGAAGAAGCCGAAGUAAGAACAAGAGUCGGGAUGGUCCAUCGAGGGAAACAAUCAACACAACCUAAGGAGGUUUCGCUUGAGGAGGGCACACAAUAUUUUCCUAAAAGAAUCACAUUUGAGCAAUUAAAAUGAUGAAUCUCGUAGAGAAGAGAGUUAGAAGCACGCCCUUCAUCACAUUUUCUAACGAUGAUUAUAAAGCGCCUGACCCUGACCAAGACGACUUGAUGGUCAUCUCAAUCCAGCUAGCCGACUAUGCUAUAAGCAAGAUUUUGGUCAACCAAGGCAGACAAGAAGAAGAAGGAGUUGUGCUUACAACCUUCACGGCUUCCCCCGACCGAUUAGCAGAUUCCUCUUGCUCAACAAGUUCAACAGCAGCUUUGAAGAAAUUCUUCUUUAGAUUGUGGGAUGCCAUAAUCUCUGAAAGACAACAAAAAAUUUAGCUAGGUUAAAAUCAAGUCAAAAACAAACGACAAAAGGAAUGCCAUAUCGAACACCUCAGUACUGAGGUCCUCCCCACCAAGGCAAUUGAUUAUCUUUGAGGAAGGGAGCUGGCGAGGCAAGUCAUCAAGAACAUUGAGUGCCUCCUGCUCGGCCGGAGUCAUAUCUGACUGUAACCAGGAAGUCACCCAAGUAGGGUCUUCGGUCUAGUACAAAGAAAAUUUUGGUCACUCGUCUUCCCCAAAGAAUAGUAGAUGGCCAAACUCGGUUAAUUCUACCUUAAAAAAUUUAUCAUUGAAGCCCUUGAAUGAAAGAGAAUAAAGCUCAAAUAAGGCUUUCCCUUGCUCGAAGAUCGGGGCGACCCAACCGCGUUUCGGAAUAUGUCAGGUCCAAAAGUAGUGAAGAAAAAGAGCGCGGGUGUAGGUGUGAGGUCCAACACUUAGCAAACGAUGGCGAAGGCCUGAAUAUACCCCUAGUUAUUUGGAUGCAGUUGGAAUGGGGCAAUAUUUAGAGUACGGAGGACGUCCAUUUGAAAAGAGCUAAACGACAGAUACACAAACAUCUCAUGGAACAUAUAAGCGUAAGCGAAGAAGAAGUCACUCUUACUCCCUCCUUUUCCAUGAAACACACGGUCAUUCUCCUCACGGGCCAUUAACCUAAAUAGAGGACCAAAAUCCAUUGACCGCAACACAUAGUUACAAUCAGUCCAGUCCGCCAACUGACUCAUGUCAUGAGACGCUUCAAAAGUAGGUGGAGAACUCACUCACAUCAUGAGACGCUCAGUCGUAGCCCGCGACAAUGGGCAAAGCUCCCACCUGCUUGUUCUCCUCCUUAGCACCCUCCAUAAUCACCCCUCCAUAGACAAAGGUCCACUGACCGUUGAACAUAACCUCUUUAUUUUCUUCUACAAUGGAUUCAUUACCAUCACAACCACCAUCCCGCUCGGUUGACUCCAUGAAGGAGGAAGAAGACUCCGAGCCCACCGAGAAUGAGACCCCAUCAUUGCCCCACCCGCCCCUUCCCGAAGACUCCUCAGACGAAGAGAGGUUCAUGGUAGCCAUUUAUUACAUGAAUUAAAAAAAAGACAAAUAACACUUUCAAACGUUGGAUGAAAAUACGUGAAAAUUAUACAAUGGGUCUUUCCUAUUUAUAGGCAGCAAAUGGAGGACCCAAAGAUCGUCCUAACUGUUGGAUGUAAAGAAAUCCAACGGUCUGAUUCAAAGACUCCAUAACUUCCAUCCAGCAUGAGAAACGAAAAAUCACAUCCAACGGUUAAGAACAGCUGACCUUGCACAUUCCUAUCAACGCAUGAAAUAGAACCAAACGCCAAUGGUAACAAUUUCAAAAUCAAGGCAACACCCCACCCAAACCAUGCACGCUCACCAAACAGUUAGUAAAGUCCCUUGCACAUUCCUAUCAACGCAUGAAAUAGAACCAAACGCCAAUGGUAACAAUUUCAAAAUCAAGGCAACACCCCACCCAAACCAUGCACGCUCACCAAACAGUUAGUAAAGUCCCUUGCCAAACAUGUUCGUCUCGAACUUGGGAGUCUGUGUACUGUAUGAACCGACCGAUAUACGUAUACCGGUAGACCACACGAUUAAUCACCUUUAGAAACGCAUUACAACCAAAUUAAACGAACGGUCACUUACAACACUCAUCGUCGUUAGGUAUAAAGACUUUAGAUUAACAAAGUAAAAACAUACUUAAACAAUGUUAGGCUUACACUUAUCCAAAGAUAAAGACAUAGGUGAUUACAUUUGGCAUUUGAGACUUAAUUAUAACCAUUCGAUAAGACUAACUUGAAUAUCAAGAGUACAUUUCUCCUCAGAAUUUUGAGGAGAAUAACAACAUAUUAUAAGAAAGUUAAAGAGUUAAUUGAAGGCAACAAACUAGAUUAGUAUAUAUGGAAACACAUUAUUUAAAUUGUCACUCAAAACAUAUCUUAAUUACGUUUCCUCACUUCCGCAUCAAUUUAGUUUUUUUAUCAAUUUUUGUUUAAAUAUUUAGUCGAAACAUAUUCAAAAGUUACACAUUCAAGAUGAAAAGGAAAUAAUUUAAAAAAUAACCAAGAUAGUAAAAUAAAAUUUAUUGUGGAUAUGGAAUUGCUUGAUUUGAUUUUAACCCACAAAUAACACCAAUUCAAUCAAAUCCAAGUUAGUGUAAUGAGUGGAUUUGAUGAAACCUCAAUCACAACAUUGUCCAUAAUAAGAACACGAGAAAGAAACUAAAAUUUAAAAAGCACAGCAAAACUUCUUGCCGGGGAGGAAGAAAUGACAAACUUUGGUAUUUUCUCAUUGAAAUGGUAGACAAUAAUACAACAACGGUGUAACAUUGGUACAAUAAAGAUAUGUCUGUCACUAUUUGCUGCACGAGGACCUUCAAACUACUUAAUUCAUACAGAAUAUCUUUCCAUUAUGCCCCAAGAGAAAAGAAGAAACAUAUGUACAAGGGUUGAGCUUUUAUGGAACCCCUCCAGAGGGUCUCACUGUUUUGUGAAAGGCCGUGUAUAACAUUUGUGAAGGGAUAAAUCCUGAACUAUUGAGCAUAUAUGUAAUAGGCCAAGUCAAAUAAAAGCCGCAUCUUUCUGUUGUUAGUUUUCAAAUUUGUAUCAAUUGUGGGAUAAGCUUCAAAAGGAAAGAUAAAUCCUGCUGUGAAAAUUGUGGAUUUGAGUUCCCCUGCACCGUCACACUCCCCUCCGUAAAACCCUCCCCAUCACCACCCUUUUUUGGCUUUAUCAUAUCUGCAACUGCUUCGGUUAUUUCUUUAACCAGAUCCACAAUUACUCCAUCAAUUCCCAUUAGAUGUUGCAUGUAAACUGCCUCAGGAACAUUGCUGCAAUGUCAAAUAUAAUCAUGAGCCAAAAUGUUACACCAAACACAUUCUUUUCUCAAGCAAUUAACAAAGGAAAGAGAGUACUAAAAACAAGCAUACUUUAAUUUGCCGUAAGAAAGGAGGCAGAGCUUGGACUCCUUUAUCUUGGUUACUGUAGAAGGAUCUCUAAAAAUCCCUUUAAUUUCUGAGACAAUUCCUUCCAAUCCAUUCUCAACAGAGAGCUUCAUGGCCUCCUCCAGUGAGUUUCUUCUCACAUCUUCAUAGAUUUCACAUCCUCCAUUUGUCAAGAAAAAGACCUGGUUGUUCCCAACAAAUUAACCACAACAUCAGAUCCAGUUAAAGAAAUAAAAUAAUUUCUCAGAACUAAAAAGGCUUAAAGAACUAACAGGGUAGUUGCUUUGCAAUUUCCGGAUGAGCAAGGCUGCAUCUGGCUGGAAUGUUGAGAAGAUAAUAGGUCUAUCCUUGGCGUAUUCAAACACAACCUGCACCCCACAAAUACCAAAGACAAUGAGAGAUCCAAGUCACCACUUUUGAAAUGUAAAACUAAAACAAAACACUCAGUGUCCCCCAUAAACACAUUUUAGGCUUAAAAUAGACUCUCUUAGCGUACCUUUAAGAUGGUUUGAAGGACAUGGACGAGAUAAUCUUGCUCAUAGACAAUGUGAUCAUCGAACUUCAACUCAAUAUUAAAACCAAUAGCGGGUUCCACCUUCACAAAAGCCUCUUGGAGAGUGCAAAGUGAGUCAUCUUGUUCAACAUCCCAUGGCAUUAUCUUCCCAUCUUUUUUCCUUAGCAAAACCUUUCCCUCAUUGCCAUGCUCUCUCUGAGGCCCAUAAGAAAGAAACUCUGAGAGACUCAGCUCUGUGAUCCUCCUUCCAGUUACAGCACCCUGCAAAACACAUUAAUUUCAACGUAACAAACCCAAAAAACUCGACCCAUUGAAAAGAAAAAGAAAGAAAUCAUCAAAGCUAAGCAAAAACAAAAAAACUCACAUUCUCCUCCGAGAAGAUGAAAUCGUCGUGGAAAAUGACGGGGCAAUCAUCUCUCGUCACCUACAAAAAACGUGCAUUUUUUAAUUCGUUUUCUUUUUUUUUUCUAUAAAAAAUGCAACGCGUCAAACAAAAACAAACAAGCAGCCAAUCAGUACCGAACAGACGGUCAAAAAAGGGCCGAGAAAGGCAAAUUAUUUACAGAAAAGCCAUCGGGGUAAAAUAGGAAAAGAAGAAAAGUAGUUGUUGCGAAACACAAGAAGCGAAAACGGUGCGCGCGGUGGAACAUUAAAUUAUUGCAUUGAGUGCAAAAGCAGAAAGAGGAAAAUAAAAGAAAAGGUCACCUGAACGUCAAAUUCUAUGAAAUCGAGAGGAAAAGUAGAGGCGGCGUUGAAGGACAUAAUGGUAUUUUCCUUUAUGGCUCUCAUUCUUCGAUCCGAAGAUUGCAGAACGUUCAUGCCGUUACCCCUGUGGCCGAUGACGACGAACUUGGGCAUCUUGAAGCCACUCCGAGCAAUCUCGACCCCUGCAUUAACGAUUAAAAGAAUGUUAGGAAGAAAAGAUGGGAAGAGGAAGAAGAGAAGGAAAGAGAUGGAAAGAACCGUUGGGGAAGCGGGAGGAGCAGAGGGCGAGAGAGGCAUUCUCGGGGACGUGGUCAAGGGAAGGGACGUCGGUGACAUGGACGGCCUUGAGAGCCAUUUGGGUGGAAGGAAAGAGAGAAAGGAGGAAGGGGAAAGGGAGGUGGUGAUGAGGAGGGCACCGGAUGGUUUGUGGGUGAUGGUGGUGGUGGUGAAGAACAAGGCAUGGUUUGGUCCGCUAUUUAUUGCUUCCACCUACGCCAAAUUCACCCUCCAACGGAUCUCCCCACGAAUAUUCCCCUCCCAUCUAUAUGCUUGGGAUAUUCCCUUGUCAUUUUCCACCCUUUCAAUUUCAACCUACACUUUUUCUUUUUCUAUAUCUAUAUCUUCAACAAAAUAUGUCAUUAUAGAUUUUUUACUAAUUUAUUGGACUAGAUUUUCGUCUAAUAUAUUAAUAAUAAUACCAUAUUUAAAUAAAAUAUUUAUAUAUAUCAUCCAAAUAAGUUCAAAAUAAUAACUGAAAAUUUUGAAACCGAACAAUUUUUUUUUAUACAAAAUUUAAAAACAAACACCUUUUCAACCAUUUAAACCACUAAAACAACCAACAAUUGUUUUAUCUCUUACUACAACUUCCAAAAAUAAAGCAAUUGACCAUGAAUACCUUUCAAUUCCAACAGACUUUGAAGCUAGCAUAAAAAAAUCUUGAAACAAUAUCGGAUAACUAGGAAUUGGUUCGAUCAAUUUCCAGCACAAACUGUUCUAGACACCAAAAAUGGAAGCCCUAUGACCAUUUUAAGAGGAAAAGCUAUACAUCUUUUAAUUGGAUGAUUUUAUUUAUUUUUUAAAUAAAAAAAGUAAUUCUUUAUUUAUGUAAUAAAAUAAAUUAUUAAAUAUUGUUUGUUUAAAAAAAAUAAAUUUCUAAAAUAACACUUGCGUAAAAUUAUAUAUAUUUUGUAGUGAUUGGAAACAAUGCUGUGGUGGUGGCGGGUGAGAAGUGGCUGGGUGACAGCUGGGGUAUUAUGUUAUAGUCGUUGACCUGUGACAAGGCAAACUACAAGGUUUUUGAAGAAAAUCUGUGGUGGGAUCGUCCGAACAUUGCGGACUACGGUAUUUUAUAAGAUAGAGGAUGAAUGAAGAAACAUAAUUGAUCGGGUAUGACGUGGUGACACAACAGCAUGUAGAUAGAUAGAGAAAGGUGGGUGGUUAUAAUUGGAUAAGACUACAAAAAGGAUUUAGGAAUGACUCAUGGCUGCCUUUGCCAAACUAUUAAUUUUAUUUAAUGAUAAAAAUUGAUGUUGUCUUUGUACUUUUAGGAAAACAAACAAAAAGUUAAAAUACGGUGGAAACAAUUUGAUAAAAAAAUUGGAAUUUUUUUUGAAAAUAAUGUAUUUUAAUUAGUUUGAUAUAAAAUAGAAACAUUAGGAAAUAUCACAUUCUAUGUUUUUAAUCUUUACGAAAAUAUUUAUUAGUAUAAUUACGUGGUACAAGUAAAAAUCUUCUAGAUAAACUAGAAUUCUCUAUAAGUUGAAUUGCUGUCUGAUUGAGGAGAAGCGGAUUGAGCUUCAAGAAAAAGGAAAAGUAGAGAAAGAUUCAUGUACAAAAUAAAGUUAAUAAAAAAGUAUAAAUAGUAUAAGUGUGAAUAGGAGAUAUACCUGGAUCAAUAGACACACAUUAAAUCGAUUAAUAUUUCAUAUAUGAUAAUAAGAUCAAGAGAUAAUAUGAAUAAAUUUGGAUUGGACUCAAAUAAACCUUUAUUAUAAAAGUUAUUGGGUUUGGACUUAUUUAGUUUUAAAUAUAUAAUUUUGGUUUAAUAAAUUUUAAAUGAUUUUUAUUUUUAUAAAAUUAAAGUAUACAUGAGAGAGUCCGUGUAUAUAUUAAUCUCACAUGACAUUAAAAUCGAGUUUUAUAUUAAAAGUUUUAAAUGUACAAAGGUGAACUUCAGGGAAGACAAAGUAAAAAAAAUUAAAAAUUUUAAGUGGAUCUCCCUUUAAUUUAAAAAUGCAAAUGAGAUUGGGAAAAAGAAUCGAAGAUCCGUAUUAUUAGAUUUGUGUGAGAAAAAAAAAAUCGCAUUCUUUCGUUCAAAAUUUUCUUAAAAAAACUGAAUUUAUAUGUGAUAGUAGCUCAUCCUCUGCAAUUAUAAAAAUAAAAUAGACUAAAUUCUUAUUACAAAGCAAGAGAGGAGGAAAAGAUCUAAGAGUUUUUAUAUCUUGGUAUGCAUUUAGCUACAGUAUGAGCUCCAGAUUUAACUGAUAACAUAGUCCAUGUAAUUUAAUUUGGACAAUGAAUGAAAAGUGACAAUGACUUCCAGAUAUCCAUGAUUUAAAUUACAAUGGAAAAAUAGAAGAAGAAAUGAGGAAGAAUGUGAGGGACUGGGACUAAUUAAUAUAUUAAAUAUUUUACAUCUAACUCUCUUAAUGUAUACACUUCUUCUGAACUUUAUCUGAGAUGAACAGUUAUAGAGAUGAACAGUCAGAGAGGGUGUUGAAAGAGAGAGCUCCCAAUGCAAUUCACAUCCUCCGCUUCAUGCUCUACCAUAUCACUCUCAAAUGGCUGCCAUGCAAUGUGCUCUAACUUCUCUUAUGGACUCUCAAAACAAACCAUAUGCCUUCAACAAAUCAACAUUAGAAUUACCUUUCCAGGACGCUUCUUCUUCUUCCAGCAACAAUGAGAAAUUCUCUUCAAAAUCCAAAAAGUACUCCUCUAAUUUACACCUCACCAUCUUUCAGCCAUGGGAAAUCAUACACCCCAAGUCCCAACUCGAAUUCCCAUGCAUCUCAACAACAAUCCUCUUUCUCUCUAAUAAAGAACGAAGAAAGAAAGAACGAGCGAUUUUUUUCCCUCACACAAACCUUAUAAUACGGAUUCUUAAUUUUUUAAUGCCAUGUAUGAUUAAUGUAUACAUUGAUCAUAUCACGUAAGCGAAACUUAAACGAUCUUUUGUUCAAUUUGACGGCAGGCUCUAAUUACUUCAAUUUUUAAAAAAUAAGGAUCUAAUUAAGAUGGCAUAAAAAAAAAGGGACUUAUUUGACAUUUUGGACCAAAAUAGGAACAAACCGAGACAUUAAACCUAUAGUCUUUCAUAAUUAUUCUUUUCCAUUUGUUAUUUAAAAAACGUUAAAAUUAGAAAAUGUUAAUUUAUAUAACAAAGAUAAUAAAGAAUUUUAAAUGGAAAUAAUUAUAAUUUUAAAGCAUAAAAUUUAAUAAAUCUAUACUUAUAUAUAUAUAUAUAUAUAUAUAUAUAUAUAUAUAUAUAUAUAUAUAUAUAUAUAUAUAUAUAUAUAUAUAUAUUAUGGGUUUGUUAACGUGCGUAUGCCUCUUUUCAGUUGGUACAUUUUAACAAUGUGUACCGGAUUAUAGUAGACAAAAAUAUCAUCAUAUAUUAUGGAUUCUAAGUUUUAAAGUCAAGGAUAUUUAAAUAAUUUUCAUUCUGAAAACUAAAAAAAAAAAAGAAAUCCCCAAACCCUUACUCACCUCUCCCAUUCCUAUCAAUUCUUUCUGUUUCAUUUCUCUCACUCCAACUUUUUCUCUGUCAUUUUUACUAUAGCCCCAAUUAAAAAAAAUUAGAAAAACUUGCUGUUAAGAAAUUUCUUACAAAAAAAUGAUUUUAUAAUGAGUUUUCAUUUUAUAACUUUUGUCUUAUCUAAUUUUCACAAGCAUAAUGACAUAUGAAGGAAUUGGUAAUUCGCCUGAAAAAAAAAAUAAAAAACACUCGCUAUUAAACAAUUUCUUACAAAAAAUGAUUUUAUAAUGAGUUUUCAUUUUAUAAUUUUUGUCUUAUCUAAUUUUAUUUAAUUUUCACAAGCAUAAUGACAUCAGAAGGAAUUAGUAAUUGGCCUGAAGAUUUUUUAAGAAAUGACGAUUCAACAUCUGCAGAUGAUGAAAUUAGAGAUGUUAGUGAAGAUGAUGAAAUUGAAGAGAUCUUGAAUGAACCUUUGCCUGAAAGCGAAUAUGCCAAUGACUCAACUCUUUACAAAGGUAAAUUGUUUAAGGAUGAGUAUUUCUAAUUUUUUUUUCAAUUGGAUCUACCAUAGGAUGAUAGAGAAACGGUUGGAGUGAGAGAGAUGAAAGAGAAAGGAUUGAGAGGAAUGAGAGAGGUGAGUAAGGGUUUGGGUUUUUUUUUUNUUUUGUUUUGAGAAUGAAAAUUAUUUAAAUAUCCUUGACUUUAAAACUUAGAAUCUUAAUAUAUGAGGGUAUUUUUGUCUACUAUAAUCCGGUACACAUUGUUAAAAUGUACCAACUGAAAAAUAGGCGUACAUAUAUAUAUAUAUAUAUAUAUAUAUAUAUAUAUAUAUAUAUAUAUAUAUAUAUAUAUAUAUAUAUAUAUAUAUACAAACACACACACACAUACGGGGUUUGUUAACAUACGUAAGCUAUAUUUUUACAGUUAAUACAUUUUAGCAAAGUAUACCGAGUUUUAGUAGACAAAAAUACCCUUAUACAUUAUGGAUUCUAAGUUUUAAGGUCAAAGAUAUUUGAAUAAUUUUCGUUCUUAAAACUAGAAAGAAAAACAAGAAACCUGCAAACCCUUAGUCACCCUUCUCUCAUCCCUCAUUCCUCUCAACCAUUUCUCUUUUAUCACUCUCUGUAACCUUUUCUCUGUCAUCCCUAUAAUAGCCCCAACUGAAAAAAAAAAAAUCAGAAACACUCGCAUAACCCUAAUCCACCUUCCUCAUUUAUCCAAUUUGUUUCUCUCUCAUCUUCACCUCUCUCGUCCACACACAGUAACUCGCGACAUUGCAAUUUGUAGUUCUUGCUCUGUUCGUUCAUUUGUUUCCACUUUAAUAACAAAAUAAUUGAUGAUGUUGAUGUUGAUUUUUGAUUGAAGGGUUGUUAUAUUUUUUUCCCUUAUGAUUAUUAUUAAAUUUUGUUUUUAAAUUUUAGAAUUAGUAGUUUAUCUAUAGGGAGAUUUGAUAUUUUGACUAUUAAGUUGUCCGAAAAUAUUUUUCAGAAGAGAAAAAUAGUUACGUGGAAAGGCGAUUCCCGAAAGGGUAAGUCAUUGUCCAAAAAAUGGAUUUCUGAAGUCAGUUCUUAAAAAUAAUUCUAAAAACAUAUUUUGCGCUGAAAGCAAUACUUUGGAAUAUACUUUUCACCUUCCUGCAUAUAACCAACGUCAAAACACAACAAAAAAUGAAGCUCAUGUACAUCGUACUAAAUGAUUUAACAGGAAAAAAUUAUUGAAGAGAGUUAUGAACAUAAAAGAAUUUUGUUGUUGUCCACUAGACUUUUCACUCAAUUCUGGUUGUGUAAUAUUGUUCAUCACUCCUGAUGUCCACUAGACAAACUCGUCUAGGUACCGCUUAAUCCAACCAAGUUAAGCCUUAAGUGUUUGAAUUAUCUUCAAAAUAUGCAAUCAAUCAAAUCACCUACAAGUCAUUAGAUGAUUACUCUCAUAGUGAGGAUUUGCUUACAAUAUAAUUCAAUCUAAUAGACUUUUGAAAUUUUCUUUUUUCUUACAAGUGUAACUUUCUAACUCUAAACAACUCUGAGAGUAUUCUUGAUCUUUCAAUGAGGAUGAUUUUUCUUUAUAUUCCUUAUGUGUCCAUCCUUUUUUCCUUCUUAACCAGAUAUCUUCUCUUUAUAAGCGUUUUUUGAGAAUUUAGUCGUUAGAUGAUGCUUGUCUUUGAAUUUUAGCUCUUUGUAGCCUGCCUUUAUCAUAGGUGGUUGUCAUAGGUUGAGGUCUACUUGUCAAAGUAGGCUUACUUUUUUAGUACUUUAUCAAAAGUAGGUUGUACGAAUUCUUUGGCUCGACUUUUGAUAAGAAGGUCAUUCCAUGAAUGUCUUCUUUGUCUCUAACUUGUAUUUGAUAGAGAAGGUGGAUGCUUGACUUAGGUAAUUUGCAUAAAGUAGAGUAGAUAUUCAUACAAGCAUAUAUGUCUGUUUUCCUUUCACUUUUGCUAUUUUGAGACAUUGUGUUUUUUAAUGCGCGUUUAGAACAACUAUAAGUAUUUUAAAAUUUCCUUGCUCAAGCAGCAUUUGGUUGUUUAAGCAUUCUAGUAGAGAUACCUAGUAGAUCAUGAGAGUUUCAUCAUUGGAUGAAAACUUCGUUUAGCACAUGAUAUCGUUUAGCCUAUGCAAGGCUUUUCAUAAUAGUGCCUUGUUUAAUAAAUACUCGUUUGAUUUAAGAGCGCAUUUAGUGAGAUAUCUUUCAACAUCAAUUUUUGGAACAAUGAUUGUAUCUUUUAGCACAUUUACCAAAAACAUCAUUUUAUAUAUAUCAUAGUGAGAUCUUGUUUAGCUUUGUUUAGCAAAGUAUAGCACAAAUGUGUUUAACAAGACUCUCAUAUAGCUCAAUGACGCAUUUAGUAGUGAAAUCGUUUAGUAGUGCAUCUACUUAUGUAUUAGUGCAUUUAUUAAAGUUUUUUCUUUCAUGGAAAGUCUUUUUAUGUAGCGAUAUGAGUUUUACAAAGGUAAUACUUUGUUAAUCAUCUAUUUCGGUCAUAUUCUUAUUUACUAAUUCUCAAGUCAUGUGAAGAUGCUAAACAAUCUUGAUCUUAUCUUAGCAAACUUCCUUUCUUCUUGUAGUACUGAUUUAUUGUGUAGCACUAUCGUUUUGUAUUAUGUCUCUUCUUAGGAAUGAAUUGUUUUCUUUUAGGAUGAAGAUAUAUUCUUUUAUUUUACGAAUAUUUUAUUUGCAAUGCGUGAUUACUUGAUAGAUUCUUGCACUCAAUGUUUUGUCAGUUUUACUUGGACACUUCUUAUGCUUAUUGCUUUGUAAUUGUAUAUUUGUAGGCAUACUGUAUGUAGGCUUCUUCUAUGUUUCUAUGUUAUUUCAGCUUAUCUCUUUUGUUGUUUAACAACUUAUGUAACUUUAGAUGUAACCUUGAUUUUUACUUUGAUUUGGCUUGACAAUAUAGAUGCUUCUAACCUUAGACGUUUUUCUUUUGGACAUCUUUUUUCCGCUAAAUGGAUAACUAGAUGGUUUGCAAAGUCCACUUUCUAGUGUUUAGAUGAUUUUUCUUUUACAAUUAUCAGAUAAUGUCAUCGAUAAAUAUAUCAUCCAUAAAUAUCAUCCAUAAAUAUAAUGAAUAAUUGUACUUAAUUUAUCUAUCAUUCUAAAAAUAACUUUUUUUUCUAAUCGACUUAAUGAGUCCACUACUAAAUUUAUUAUUAUAUAUUAUUUAAUAAUAUUAUCUUGAAAAUAUUUUAUCAAGAUAAUUUUAUGAAAUAUUAAUUAAAAAACAAUAAACAUUUAUAACAUUUAUAAGAAAGUGUGAUAUUUGAGAAAAACAUAAUAUAAUAUUUAAAAUAAAAGACAACUUAUUAGAAGAAAUGAGAAGAACAGGGAUGGAACUAAAGGUUAAUAAAUAAAAUUGAUGUUUUUCUAUUUUUACAAUUAAUUAUUUUUAGAAUAAAAGUUGUGUAUGGAAUUAAAAAUUCUAUACAAUAAUUUGUUAAGAGAUAAAAUAUGGUCGUAGAGGAUUAAUAAUUUAUUUAUUAAUUUUUCUAUUACUUUUGAUAGUUAACCAUGGAUGAUUGUUAUAGUUUUUUAGAACAUUAGUUACUUUCCUUAGUUAGUUUUAAUUUUUUUUUUCUACAAAUAGUUGAGUAAAUUAUUUUUCUAUACCAUAUGUUACGGAUGUUUCUUUAAUUAGUUUUAUACUUUCUAGCAAAUAAUUAAACACAAUUAUUAUCUUACGCAUGAAUGUGAAACAUGAUAUAAAUGUGUAAAAUUAACUUAUGAAAUCUUAUGAAAUAUAUGUUAAUGAAGUUGAAUCUCAUUUUCAAUUAAAAGGAAAACAAACUGAAAGAAAGACAACACCAAUUUCAUUCAUGUAUUUAUGAGGUGUCAAAGUUUCAUUUUAACAUUUUGUCUUUUCACAUAAUAUUAAUUGAAAAAAAAAAGUAAUGAAAAGGUGGAGAAAAAAAUGUAUGAUUUUAGUAUGUCUUCCGUUGUAGCCAAAAAACUGCUCACUGAAAGGAAUUAAAAAAUAGAUUUGAAUAGGAGUCUGUCAGACAACCCUGCAACCAUCCCCAGCUUGUAAAGUCAGGGAACGAUCCUCUACAGCUGGUGAUGGGUCUCGUCCAGAAACGAAGCCCACACUGCCGUUAAUCACGCUCUGAUCACAGGGUAAUAAUUCAUCCACCAGACUUCAGUUCCUGUCUCCUUAGAACUUAAGGAUACAGAGGUACGAACCUAUAGAACAGAUCCUGUUCAAGUAAGGUCGU
rnacentral:lncRNA from 1 species